rnacentral:lncRNA from 1 species
AUAUCAUUAUCUCUUUGUUUCAGCCUCCAUUCUUCUAUGACUUUCGUUCCCUGUAAAAUUCCCCUUCACCCAUACAAUACAUCUUCCUAUCUUCUAUUUCCAAGUUCCAAACUCUUAAUUUCACCCAUUAUUUAUAUAGACCCAAAAUCGUAAACCCUAACUGUUCACACAUAGUCGAAGUGAAGACAAAUUGAGAAGAAAUCUGGAAGCUCUGGACCACACAUGUUGGCAAGAAGAUUAUAAAGCUUGGAACCACAUCACUAUCAAGGAAAUUGUUGAAGCAUUUGGCUACCUUGGAUAUUGGAUUUUAAAAGUUUCGGUCCCACAUAAAGGUACUUUCUUUCCUUUUGUUUAAUCAUGUUUGAGAAAGAAAAUGAUAGAUUGUUUGAUUGUGGGUGGCCUACAUGUGCUGUUUUUUUUUCCUUUUCUUUGUCUAAUUUACUCUAUUUGAAUAGCAAAUGUUGACAAUAUGGAUGAACAGUAAAAUUAUUUCUGGGGAUUAAUAUUUUAGGGAAGUUACAAAUUUGGUCGAAUCAUGUCAUGCUCCUUUGAAAUUUAAUCAGUUAUCAAUCUCAGAACCUCACGACUUCUAUUCUUGUCCUUCAGAAUCGUCAACUUGACCUCUCUUCCUUUUAAUUGGAUUAUCUUUCUUUUCUUUUCCCCUUCUCUUUUCUUUCAUCUUAUCUUUUACGAAACUGGGAAACCAAAAACGACAAGCGCCAUGUGGGAUUUGUUGCAAAAUUAUAAAUAUUUCAAAUUCUUCAAAUAACUUAAAAUUAAUUUAUAUAUACACAUACUUUCUUAUUAAAAAAACUAAUAAAAAAAUAGAAACUAACGGAGAAUUAAUAGAAUAAGCCUUUAUAUAAUAUUAUGUGAUAUUACAAUAUUAAUUAAUCAUUUCAUCCUCUUUCCUUUAGCAUCAUAUAGAAUAUUGUAAAAUCUACCUAUAAUUAUAAUCAUAUUAAAAAGUUUAUAAAAUUAUUUCAAUUAUUUUCAUUUUGUAAUUAAGGAAGGUUCAUCUAAAGGUUUCACUCUCCAACUCCCUUUGGCUUUGGCAUGAUUAUUGGAGUAGCCAACUGGAGGGGUAGCUGCAUUUUGUUGUUCUUGUGAAGAAUGUAAUACGGUUCUAUUUUAAGAAAAAAGAGUUAUGGAUAUCUAGUUACUUUCAUUUGGAAAUUGUAAACAUAAAGAAUAUUUUUGGUAUUGUUUGUCAUGUACCAAAUUUAUAUACGACUAUUGCAAUUGCUUGAAUAUUUAUUUUUAUGUUGCAGCUUUUCAAAAAAA